CCUACGGGAGGCAGCAGUGGGGAAUAUUGGACAAUGGGGGGAACCCUGAUCCAGCCAUGCCGCGUGUGUGAAGAAGGCCCUCGGGUUGUAAAGCACUUUCAGUGAGGAAGAACGCCUGGUGGUUAAUACCCAUCAGGAAAGACAUCACUCACAGAAGAAGCACCGGCUAACUCCGUGCCAGCAGCCGCGGUAAUACGGAGGGUGCGAGCGUUAAUCGGAAUUACUGGGCGUAAAGCGCGCGUAGGUGGCUUGAUAAGCCGGUUGUGAAAGCCCCGGGCUCAACCUGGGAACGGCAUCCGGAACUGUCAAGCUAGAGUGCAGGAGAGGAAGGUAGAAUUCCCGGUGUAGCGGUGAAAUGCGUAGAGAUCGGGAGGAAUACCAGUGGCGAAGGCGGCCUUCUGGACUGACACUGACACUGAGGUUCGAAAGCGUGGGUAGCAAACAGGAUUAGAUACCCUGGUAGUC
rnacentral:rRNA from 1 species